GCAUAUCAUAGCGGAGGAAAAGAAUCAACAGGGAUUGCCUCAGUAACGGCGAGUGAAGCGGCAAGAGCUCAAAUUUGAAAGCUGGCCCCUUCGGGGUCCGCGUUGUAAUUUGCAGAGGAUGCUUCGGGUGCAGCCCCCGUCUAAGUGCCCUGGAACGGGCCGUCAUAGAGGGUGAGAAUCCCGUCUGGGACGGGGUGUCUGCGUCCGUGUGAAGCUCCUUCGACGAGUCGAGUUGUUUGGGAAUGCAGCUCUAAAUGGGUGGUAAAUUUCAUCUAAAGCUAAAUACUGGCCGGAGACCGAUAGCGCACAAGUAGAGUGAUCGAAAGAUGAAAAGCACUUUGAAAAGAGAGUUAAACAGCACGUGAAAUUGUUGAAAGGGAAGCGUUUGCGACCAGACUCGCCCGCGGGGUUCAGCCGGCAUUCGUGCCGGUGUACUUCCCCGUGGGCGGGCCAGCGUCGGUUUGGGCGGCCGGUCAAAGGCCCUCGGAAUGUAUCACCUCUCGGGGUGUCUUAUAGCCGAGGGUGCAAUGCGGCCUGCCCGGACCGAGGAACGCGCUUCGGCUCGGACGCUGGCGUAAUGGUCGUAAAUGACCCGUCUUGAAACACGGACCAAGGAGUCUAACAUCUACGCGAGUGUUCGGGUGUCAAACCCGUACGCGCAGUGAAAGCGAACGGAGGUGGGAGCCCCCUCGCGGGGCGCACCAUCGACCGAUCCUGAUGUCUUCGGAUGGAUUUGAGUACGAGCGUAGCUGUGGGGACCCGAAAGAUGGUGAACUAUGCCUGAAUAGGGCGAAGCCAGAGGAAACUCUGGUGGAGGCUCGCAGCGGGUUCUGACGUGCAAAUCGAUCGUCAAAUUUGGGUAUAGGGGCGAAAGACUAAUCGAACUCAUCUAGUAGCUGGGUUCUGGCGAG
rnacentral:rRNA from 1 species